rnacentral:rRNA from 1 species
CCUACGGGGGGCAGCAGUGAGGAAUAUUGGUCAAUGGACGCAAGUCUGAACCAGCCAUGCCGCGUGCAGGAAGACGGCUCUAUGAGUUGUAAACUGCUUUUGUACGAGGGUAAACGCAGAUACGCGUAUCUUUCUGAAAGUAUCGUAAGAAUAAGGAUCGGCUAACUCCGUGCCAGCAGCCGCGGUAAUACGGAGGAUUCAAGCGUUAUCCGGAUUUAUUGGGUUUAAAGGGUGCGUAGGCGGUCGGAUAAGUUAGAGGUGAAAUCCCGAGGCUCAACUUCGGAAUUGCCUCUGAGACUGUUCGGCUAGAGAGUAGUUGCGGUAGGCGGAAUGUAUGGUGUAGCGGUGAAAUGCUUAGAGAUCAUAAAGAACACCGAUUGCGAAGGCAGCUUACCAAGCUACUUCUGACGUUGAGGCACGAAAGCGUGGGGAGCAAACAGGAUUAGAUACCCGGGUAGUC